UAGUGCCCCCUUACCUUCCUCUCUAGGGUUGCCAACGUUGUAAUAUUUAAAAACCGGACACUCCAGCAGGAGUGCCACCUGCCCUGCCCCUUCCCCCUGAGGCUCUGCCCCCACCUCUGCCCAGGUCAGGAGGGACGUGCCUGCGGAGCCGGGGCUGGGAGCUGCAGCCACCCGCCGCAGGUCACUCUUCACAUAGGCUGCACUCUUCAAUUCCUCAGGAUGGAAAUAGGGCAGGAACAGCCUCUCUGAAAUUCAGUAGCACUUCCUGCUUCACUGAAGACAUCCCAGAAGACACUUUACAGUAGCAUCAGACACCAGAAAUUCCAUUGCAAUCUGUGAUGUCACUGAGGUUGUAUCUACAAUGGAAAACUGUACCAUUGCUCAUUGCACCAAUGUGAUUCAAAGGGUACAAACUACCAUGGUGCAGAUCAUCCAAAGUAACCAUUUUGUUUCUGAUACACAUAUCCACACUCAUGACUUUCUAGCUCCUGCAUUUAACAGUUGGUGGUACACUCAUGGGAAGGAGGCUUAUUUGCCUUGGGAGAGUGGAGUUUUUAAGUUCUGGCCCCCAUGAAAUCAGUGGGGGGUUUGCCAUUAACUUUAGUCUCAGGAGGACAGGAUGUCACCCCUGGUUUGUAUGGCUCCUCCUCUGAAUUCCCAAUUUUGUAGCCACCAAUAUUUCAUUGCUAAAUGACUAUGUAAAAAAAAUCAUCAUUUAUUUUGCAUGAGCUAUGUAGUCAGUCUGGUGAGGAACUGGGGGGGACAGAGUAAUCUCUCUGUGCUGUAAAGGAAUGCAGAGUUCCAUUUUCACUGGGUUUAGCUGUCAUGUUUAUCGAGUCCCACAAGGUUCAGCAGGAGUCACUUAGUGCCACCAAAACGUGUAGCUGGGUAGUAACAGAAGAGGAGCAGAAAAGAGAAGAUAGGAAAGGCAGGACCAAGAGAAGAGGGCAGAGAAGACUAGAAGGAGGUGGUGGGGGGGGGGGACCACGGGAGCUGGGAUGAAAAAGUUACAUUAUAAAAAUUAUAUAUACAAGGACUCUGCAUACAAAAUAAAAGUGGCACUGGCAGAAGGUGGUGACAUUAACAAUCCACUUAAUUUCACACUCGUGGUUUAUUUUGCCACCAAAAUUCCCCAAAUGAUUUAUUUCGUUAUUCUGUACUGCAUUCAAAUAGAAUUUCAAACUAUAACUGUUAUGUGCUGAGAUAUGUGUGUGACUCACACAUUAGAAAAUUAAAUUCAUUGCUGUGUUCAACGAGAUUCAGAUUUGUUGUUUAAAAUAGAAUUACAAACCCUAUUGGUAUUGUAGAAUAAGUAAACAUGAGUUACUGUUGUAAAGAAUAUUGGAAUGGAAAAAUACUCUUGCUCCACUUAACUUUCUUUUGGCUGGGAAAUGGGAAUAAAAAAAAAAUCUCUAAUUUGAGUUACCUAUCGAUGACAUUUACAAGAAGAGAUUUUCUACAAUUAUUUAAAUUACUACUUAUCCUAAAUAAGUCAUUUCUCUCUAAUCCUCUAGGCAGUAAUGUAUAAUAAAGUUUGUAACCAAUACCAAACUAGGAGGGGUUGCAAGCACUUUGGAGGACAGGUUUAGAAUUCAAAAUGAUCUGGACAAACUGGUGAAAUGGUCUGAAAUAAAUAGUGUGAAAUUCAAUAAGGAUAAAUGCAAAGUACUACACUUAAGAAGGAAUAAUUAGUUGCACAGACACAAAAUGGGAAUUACUGCCUAGAAAGGCGUACUGCAGAAAAGGAUCUGGGGGUUAUAGUGGAUCACAAAUUAAAGGGGUUAAAAUGUAACACUGUUGCAAAAAAAGAAAACAUCAUUCUGGGAUGUAUUAGCAGGAAUGUUGUAAGCAAGACAUGAGAAGUCAUUAUUCCAGUCUGCUCAGCCCUGAUAAGGCCUUGUGUACAGAUCUGGGCAACAAACUUUGGGAAGAUGUAGACCAAUUGGAGAAAGACCAGAGGAGAGCAACAAAAAUGAUAAAAGGUCUAGAAAACGACCCAUGAGGAAAGAUUGAAAAAACUGCAUUUGUUUAUUCUGAAGAAGAGAAGACUGAGGGGGGACAUGAUAACAGUCUAAGCACGUAAAAUGUUAUAAAAAUAGUUGUGAUAAAUUGUUCUGUUUAUCCACUGGGGACAGGACAAGAAGUAAUGGCCUUAAAUUGCAGCAAGGGAGAUUUAUGUUAGACAUUAGGAAAAACUU